CGGGUGCACUGAUCCAGCCGGGCCUUUCCCUCUGUGGAAACCCCAUGGCCUUCACUGGCUGUGGUGGGGAAACAGGACUUUUACUUUGAAAAAAUUAGAGUGCUCCAGGCAGGCCUAUGCUCGAAUACAUUAGCAUGGAAUAAUAGAAUAGGACGUGUGGUUCUAUUUUGUUGGUUUCUAGGACCGCCGUAAUGAUUAAUAGGGACAGUCGGGGGCAUCAGUAUUCAAUUGUCAGAGGUGAAAUUCUUGGAUCUAUUGAAGACUAACUACUGCGAAAGCAUUUGCCAAGGAUGUUUUCAUUGAUAAGGAACGAAAGUUAGGGGAUCGAAGACGAUCAGAUACCGUCGUAGUCUUAACUAUAAACUAUGCCGACUAGGGAUCGGACGAUGUUAUUCUUUGACGCGUUCGGCACCUUUCGAGAAAUCAAAGUGCUUGGGCUCCAGGGGGAGUAUGGUCGCAAGGCUGAAACUUAAAGAAAUUGACGGAAGGGCACCACCAGGGGUGGAACCUGCGGCUUAAUUUGACUCAACACGGGGAAACUCACCAGGUCCAGACACAGUGAGGAUUGACAGAUUGAGAGCUCUUUCUUGAUUCUGUGGGUGGUGGUGCAUGGCCGUUCUUAGUUGGUGGAGUGAUUUGUCUGCUUAAUUGCGAUAACGAACGAGACCUUAACCUGCUAAAUAGCCCGUACUGCUUUGGCAGUUCGCCGGCUUCUUAGAGGGACUAUCGG
rnacentral:rRNA from 1 species